GCCGGAAUAGUUUAAGUGGUUAAAAUAAAUUCCUUGUAAGAUUUAGAAAGCGGUUCGAAUCCGUUUUCCGGCA